CCUACGUGUGGCAGCAGUGAGGAAUAUUGGUCCAUGGGCGCGAGCCUGAACCAGCCAAGUAGCGUGAAGGAUGACUGCCCUACGGGUUGUAAACUUCUUUUAUAAAGGAAUAAAGUGGGGCACGUGUGCCUUUUUGUAUGUACUUUAUGAAUAAGGAUCGGCUAACUCCGGGCCAGCAGCCGCGGUAAUACGGAGGAUCCGAGCGUUAUCCGGAUUUAUUGGGUUUAAAGGGAGCGUAGAUGGGUUGUUAAGUUAGUGGUGAAAGUUUGCAGCUCAACCGUAAAAUUGCAAUUGAUACUGGCAGCCUUGAGUACAGUUGAGGUAGGCGGAAUGCGUGGUGUAGCGGUGAAAUGCUUAGAUAUCACGAAGAACACCGAUUGCGAAGGCAGCUUACUAAACUGCCACUGACAUUGAGGCUCGAAAGUGUGGGUAUCAAACAGGAUUAGAUACCCCUGUAGUC
rnacentral:rRNA from 1 species